CUCGUAGGCGGCUUAGCAAGUCGGGUGUGAAAACUCCAGGCUCAACCUGGAGACGCCACUCGAGACUGCUAUGGCUAGAGUCCGGUAGGGGACCACGGAAUUCCUGGUGUAGCGGUGAAAUGCGCAGAUAUCAGGAGGAACACCGGUGGCGAAGGCGGUGGUCUGGGCCGGCACUGACGCUGAGGAGCGAAAGCGUGGGGAGCAAACA
rnacentral:rRNA from 1 species